GACGAACGCUGGCGGCGUGCUUAACACAUGCAAGUCGAACGGAAAGGCCCUGCUUUUGUGGGGUGCUCGAGUGGCGAACGGGUGAGUAACACGUGAGUAACCUGCCCUUGACUUUGGGAUAACUUCAGGAAACUGGGGCUAAUACCGGAUAGGAGCUCCUGCUGCAUGGUGGGGGUUGGAAAGUUUCGGCGGUUGGGGAUGGACUCGCGGCUUAUCAGCUUGUUGGUGGGGUAGUGGCUUACCAAGGCUUUGACGGGUAGCCGGCCUGAGAGGGUGACCGGCCAAAGAGGAGCAGGAGUGAGGAGCAGACACGGAGGGAAGGCAGCAUGAGGGAAUAAUGAACGAGGGGCGGAAGCCUGAUACGGAAACCACGCGGGGUGGAUGGCGCCCUUCGGGUUGCAAGCUGCUUUCGAGUGUGAAGGAGGGGGAGAGAAGGGAAGGCGAAAAGAAUCACCGGCAAACUACGGUCAAGCAGCAGUGGUAAUAGAUCGAGAAAGCACACGUCUGAA
rnacentral:rRNA from 1 species